rnacentral:rRNA from 1 species
GACGAAGGGGGGCUAGCGUUGUUCGGAAUUACUGGGCGUAAAGCGAGUGUAGGUGGUUGUCCAAGUUGGAUGUGAAAGCCUUGAGCUCAACUCAAGAAAUGCAUUCAGGACUGGGCGGCUAGAGGACCGGAGAGGAUAGUGGAAUUCCCAGUGUAGUGGUGAAAUACGUAGAGAUUGGGAAGAACACCAGUGGCGAAAGCGGCUAUCUGGACGGUUUCUGACACUAAGACUCGAAAGCGUGGGGAGCAAACAGG